rnacentral:lncRNA from 1 species
GUGUGUCUGUGUGUGUGUGUGCAUGCCAAUGACAAAUUUUAGGUAGAAAUAAGCUUUGCUUAAUUUGGUGUGGCUAGAAAAUUGACACCACCUUCCAUCUGCAGCACGCGUUGGAUUUAGAAUUGAUGAUUCUCAUAUAUCUUAUUAGCUUCUUAGCGAGUUGUCAAACAAGCCAUGCACUUACUAUCAGCCGACUUUACAGAGCAAGCGGCAAGUGUUCCUUGAGUUGGGUGAUUUGCCUGAAUGGAGGGGAGUCCCAAUGCUGCCUCGGCCUCAUCAUGGAUGGAGCCCACCCAGAGGGCACUGAAAUUCAUCUUGCAUUCCUAUUGACCUCUGUAGAAUAGUGUAUCUGUAAUAAAAGAUUCUGAAAGACUGCUGGAAUUCAACAAUUUCACAAACAGUUGUCAAUAUGCUAACACUAUGAUAUGAACAAAGCAAUUUUUGGACUUUAAGGGGGUACUGGUGAUGCAUUUCUUGGGAUAAAUUUGUGGAAAUAAAGAGACCUAACCUUCAAAGCUUGCAAUCAAGUCGGAGGAUUAGAACCCCUUGCAUUCUAACCAAAUGGGGUGCUGUGAUGGAGAACUUCCCUUUGAGUUGUGCCUUCGCCUGUGUCAAUUGGUGCUACUCUAACAGAAUACCACAGACUGAGUAAUUUAUAAAGAACACACGUUUAUUUUUUACAGUUCUGGAGUCUGAGAAGGCCAAGAUUAAGAUACCAACAGGUUUUGUCGUCUGGUGAGGUCAGCCUACGCUUCCAAGAUGGUGGCUUGUAUGCUGUGUCUUCCAGACGGGAGGAACACCGUGUACCUCACGUGGCAGAAGGCAGAAGGGCAAAAGGAACAGACUCUCUCUGCCAAGUCCUUUAAAAGGGCACCUAACCUCAUUCACAAGAGUGGAGGUCUCCUGACCUAUCGUCUCUUAAAGACCCCACCUGUUAACAUUAUGAUAUUAGCCAUUCGGUUUCAACGCAUGAAUUCCUGAGGAGUCACAUUGAAACCAUCGCAGUUACUACACUCCAGUUUAGCAGUUAUGGUGUACAAGUCCACAACCACCUAAGAACAGAAGUUGAAAUGGUGCAGGCAAAUGCCACGUCACAGAUCCUGGGAAGAGAAGAGGUGAAGACGACGUCUUGGACAGCUGCAGCCCUCAGCUCUGGGAGCAGGGACCACCUAGAAGCUCACAGUCACUGUGGGCUUACCAUGUGCGGGAUCUUUGCAAGCACUCUAGAAAAAAUAUCUCAGUCCUAUGGGGUGGAUGCUACUAUCAUCUCCAUUUUACAGAUGAAAAGACGGAGGUUUCCGCAGGACAGCGUGCUGUGCAUCAGUGAGCAGGCCUGAUGGGAAUGAGCAGGGGUACGACUCCAUCACCCACCCUCGGAGUCCCCUCUGUAGGAGUCUCUGUGCAAUCAAGGAUGCUUUAGGUAGGGGCCGUCUCCUUCCAUCAGGCGCCUUGGGGAGACUCUGGGCCUUCUUAGGGAGGGUCUUCCACAGAAGGGGGCUUUGUCCAGUCCCAGGAAGUGAGAAGUCACCACUGGAAUCCCUCCUAAGUGAUGCACCUUGUUUAUUGAGCUCUCUCUCAGAGAUUCACCUAAAGGCAUCUGUUAUGCGCACAGGUUUUUAAAACUAGAGGAAAAUGAUAAGGACACGUGUUCUGCAUCACGAAGCUUAUUCAUUCUGCAAGUCCUGGGUAAGUGGAGAUGAAGCCUGUCUGGUGACAGGUGACAGCCAAGAACCUCCUGGGAGACAGGAGAAACUUUCCUCUGCCUUUGCCAUGGAACAGAGUGAAGAGCUGACUGCACACUGAGCAGGAAUCCACUGCCUGGGGACCCUGGCUCACCUGCAUUGUUGCAUGGAGGGAGGUCAGUUCCAGAACUUCCCCUGAUCCCAUGUGGGGGCUGGAGUGGUGAGGGCCAGGUGCUACAUGGGCCUGGUUGGGGGUAGGGGAGGCCACUGCUGGAGGAGGGGGUGCCUAGGACUCAAUCAAAUGCUGAGAGUCCAUUUCUAAGAUGUUUUACCUGCAAAACCCAAAGGAAUGUCGUAGUUGCAU